rnacentral:rRNA from 1 species
GACGAACGCUGGCGGCGUGCUUAACACAUGCCAGUCGAACGGAAAGGCCCUGCUUUUGUGGGGUGCUCGAGUGGCGAACGGGUGAGUAACACGUGAGUAACCUGCCCUUGACUUUGGGAUAACUUCAGGAAACUGGGGCUAAUACCGGAUAGGAGCUCCUGCUGCAUGGUGGGGGUUGGAAAGUUUCGGCGGUUGGGGAUGGACUCGCGGCUUAUCAGCUUGUUGGUGGGGUAGUGGCUUACCAAGGCCUUGACGGGUAGCCGGCCUGAGAGGGUGACCGGCCACACUGGGACUGAGAUACGGCCCAGACUCCUACGGGAGGCAGCAGUGGGGAAUAUUACACAAUGGGCGGAGGCCUGAUGCAGCCACGCCGCGUGCGGGAUGACGGCCUGCGGGUUGUAAACCGCUUUCGCCUGUGACGAAGCGUGAGUGACGGUAAUGGGUAAAGAAGCACCGGCUAACUACGUG